GGGAGUUGUGGAGAGGGAGGGUGCUGAUGACUUAACCCUUCUGGAACCAGCAGCCUGACCCUGAACCUUCUCUCUUAGGGCUGUGUCUGCUCUUUCUCUGUGGGUUGGGAUCUGACCCCUAACACCCUCCUCCCCCUAAUCUCAUCCCAGUCACAGCCUGACCAGCAAUAAAAGAUGCUGGUUCCCAAAUACCUUGCCACCACCCAGAUCUUCCUUCUGAGCCAAUUGUCAUUUUGAUGUCCAGUCAUCAUCUCUCAUGCCAUGAGUCCCAACCCAAGCUUGUCAUCUUACUCUAAACCUGCUUUUCCUCUGUUUCCACACGUCAGGUGGCAUCACUUCCCUCUCAGCUGCAGGAGUUGCUCAUCUUCCUCUGCCACACCCAAUCCCAGGGCAGAGGCUCCUCCAAACAUUUCUCCAUCCAGUUCCUGGUCUCACCCCAUUGCGCCUACCUCUUCAUCCCUACCUGCACUGGUCUUCCUGCCUUUCCACUCCUCCCCACUCUCCCCUGCACUCCACCUGUGCCAGGCUCCUCCAUGAUUUAUUCCAAGUGGUGCAGAGGAAAAAGGAGGACUCUGGACUUGAAUCCCAGCCCAGUCCUUCCCGACAUGGAAAUGUGGGGAGGGACCUAACAGUAGUUGGUAGUCAUUUAAUCUGUCUCCGAGAAGACAGUCAACAUGACUUGAAGCAGGCAAAAAUCAGGCUGGCGCAAUCCCUGCCCUCCAGGAUCCCCAUCUGCAGAGUGGUCCCCAGGGCAAGAGAAAGAGCUUGGUGCUGCAGGGACUACAGAGACUCCAGUGCAAGGCUGGCCGGAGGACAGACACACUGUGCUUCUGGCUGUGGAUGGAGAUAGCUCACCAGGGGGAUUACUUGGUCUUCACCUCAAAAUCCGCAUCUGGGUCUACAAGGGAAGGAAGUCGAAUUCCAGCAAUGGUGUGAAACCCUGGCACUUGCUCUUGCUCCUGGAUCUGGUCUCUGAGGCGCCGGAUUUCUAGGCGUUGCAUUUCAAUGAUUCUCCCAGUUUCUUCUUGCUCAUUCAGUCUCAUUGUGGCAGUGGCAGUGGGCAUGUCCCUGCUGGACACUGUACGGGACAGAGCAGGAAAAAUGUGGCCUGUUUACUGAUCUGCUGCAUUCUCUUCUUUCCCCACUCCCCAAACAUUCUUUGGAUGCCUACUGUGGGAAGACACUCAAUCUUAGGUGCUGGGAGUACAGAGAUUUCUUCUACCAGGCCCUCUGCCAUCCAUGUCUGCCUUGGAGCCAGCUGACCAUGGACUGAAUGAACCCUCCGAAACUGCUGCUGAACUGAAGACACAAAUGGCAACAACAAAGAUCACUGUAGGCUUUGAGCUCACCUCUGUUCCUCCUGACUGUCUGAGUGCGAAGAGCUCCCAUCACUGACCAACUGAACUGAAUCAGCUCUCCUUCUAUCAACUGGAAACACCAAUCACAAGCACCUCUUCAGCAAAGGCCACCUCUCUCUCUCGCUUGAUUCCUCUGGCAUCCUUAUCAAAGACCUUCCAAGUGAACAGGCAGCCAUCCUCAGCAGCAGUGAGCAAGUACUGGUCAUCAAAGGCAGAGGAUACUUCAUAGCACGAAUGGUUCCCGCUGAGGUGCCCACAAACAUCAUGCGCCCGGAAUGUGAGAUGACAACAGCUGUGUAGACGACGUCAAAUGCUGACAUCUCUCGCAGGAUCUGGAACACAGAUG